rnacentral:rRNA from 1 species
UUCCUACGGGAGGCAGCAGUGGGGGAUAUUGCACAAUGGGGGGAACCCUGAUGCAGCGACGCCGCGUGGGCGAUGGAGCGCCUCGGCGCGUAAAGCCCUAUCAGCAGGGAAGAAAAUGACGGUACCUGACUAAGAAGCCCCGGCUAAAUACGUGCCAGCAGCCGCGGUAAUACGUAUGGGGCAAGCGUUAUCCGGAUUUACUGGGUGUAAAGGGAGCGCAGGCGGCCUGGCGAGCCUGAUGUGAAAUACCGGGGCCCAACCCCGGGGCUGCAUUGGGAACUGCCAGGCUGGAGUGCCGGAGAGGG